rnacentral:rRNA from 1 species
UACGGAGGGUGCAAGCGUUAUCCGGAUUCACUGGGUUUAAAGGGUGCGUAGGUGGGUCUGAAAGUCAGUGGUGAAAUCUCCGGGCUUAACCUGGAAACUGCCAUUGACUACUUCAGGUCUUGAAUUUUCUGGAGGUUAGCGGAAUAUGUCAUGUAGCGGUGAAAUGCUUAGAUAUGACAUAGAACACCAAUUGCGAAGGCAGCUGGCUAACACAAAUAUUGACACUGAGG